CAGAGUUAACUGUGGCCUUGGAUCAACAGUCCUGACGACAUAGAGAGACAAGACUCCUCGCCCUUAUGAGCACGAGUACAUGACUGAAGCAACUUUGAUACGCUUCCUCUACGUUAUGCCUAUGUUAACCUCCCUGCCUUUUCAUGUUCUCAUGACAACCAUGAAUCACAACAAUGAAAAAUUACAACAAUCUUUUGAUUUCUUGGGUAUUAGACAAGUAUUGAUUGCACUAGGGUAUAUAUAGCUGAUUGCCCAAUGUCUAGGUCGCAGUGUGGCACCAAUGCUUUGCUCCAGGCCCAGACAACAACAUGAGCCCAGCCCCUUAUCAGUUGUUAGAUUGACUCAUCGAGAAUCAUGAGAUUGCCAUGCCCAAGUUGUCAAGGUUAGAAAGGGAUUGGUCAAGGAUGAUUAAUGUUAGAAGUUCGCAUUGCGGUGGUUCUGGUGCACCACCAAUUGUCCCUGGAUUAUUGCUUUCAUCUGAAACUAAAUUCACUUAAGAUUGUGGGACCUUCUCUCUGGUUGAGCUGCGUCCAGAAACUGAAGAUUCGUUCACAUGGAAAGUGAACAGCUGAUAGGCAAUGCACUGCAAUGCCAACUUAUCUUGGGUGGCACCAAGGUUCAACCAGAUUGCAUGGGACUGACCUCAUUUGCAAAACAUAUGGGCUUCUCUUUUGGGUUAAAAUGUUUCUUUGGCUCGCUUUCAGAAGGCAUCAUUGGACUGCAGACUGGUGGAUACGGCAUGGCUUACAAGCUUCAGAGACUUGUAGACUUUGUGAUCAGUAAGCUGAAUCUUCUGACCACAUUAUACUCAGAUGUUCUUUAUCUCUACAGAUUUGGUUUGCGAUAUUAUCUAGACUGGGCUUCAGGAACAUAAGAGGCAUGGUGUGAGUCCGUUAUUACAAGAUUGGUGGAUCAACCCGCGGGUGCAUUUACUGGCAGGAAAAUGAAAAGACCUUGAUUCUCUGAUCGCUCUGGUCACCUAGAAUUUGUGGAAGGAAAGGAAUGCAUGUCUUAUGGAAUGAUGAGGCGAUAGUGCUGCAACACAUAUGGGUUGUUUGUUUUCCGAAUAAUAACAGAAUAAGCAGAGUAGCUAAAGUCCUCUAGGUUUAUUUAUGAUGUAAUAU